ensembl:snRNA U6 U6 spliceosomal RNA
AUUCUUUGGCAGGACAUAUACUAAAAUUUGAAUCAUAUGAAGAAGUUUAGCAUGGCACCUUCUUAAGGAUGACACAGAAAUUAAUGAAGUAUUCCGUAUUAAA